GACGAACGCUGGCGGCGUGCUUAACACAUGCAAGUCGAACGGAAAGGCCCUGCUUUUGUGGGGUGCUCGAGUGGCGAACGGGUGAGUAACACGUGAGUAACCUGCCCUUGACUUUGGGAUAACUUCAGGAAACUGGGGCUAAUACCGGAUAGGAGCUCCUGCUGCAUGGUGGGGGUUGGACAGUUUCGGCGGUUGGGGAUGGACUCGCGGCUUAUCAGCUUGUUGGUGGGGUAGUGGCUUACCAAGGCUUUGACGGGUAGCCGGCCUGAGAGGGUGACCGGCAACAUUGGGACUGAGAUACGGCCCAGACUCCUACGGGAGGCAGCAGUGGGGAAUAUUGCACAAUGGGCGGAAGCCUGAUGCAGCAACGCCGCGUGCGGGAUGACGGCCUUCGGGUUGUAAACCGCUUUCGCCUGUGACGAAGCGUGAGUGACGGUAAUGGGUAAAGAAGCACCGGCUAACUACGUG
rnacentral:rRNA from 1 species